AUUGAACGCUGGCGGCAGGCCUAACACAUGCAAGUCGAGCGAGCGGCGGACGGGUGAGUAAUGUAUGGGGACUGCCCGAUAGAGGGGGAUAACUACUGGAAACGGAAGCUAAUACCGCAUACUAUCGGAUAAUCCACAUGGGAUUAGCUAGUAGGUUAGGUAAUGGCUCACCUAGGCGACGAACCCUAGCUGGUCUGAGAGGAUGAUCAGCCAGACGGUAACUGAGACACGGCCCAGACUCCUACGGAGGCAGCAGUGGGGAAUAUUGCACAAUGGGCGCAAGCCUGAUGCAGCCAUGCCGCGUGUAUGAAGAAGGCCUUCGGGUUGUAAAGUACUUUCAGUGGGGAGGCGUUACCGGCAGAAGAAGCACCGGCUAACUCCGUGCCAGCAGCCGCGGUAAUUC
rnacentral:rRNA from 1 species